GCCCGCCACUGGGUAUACACGUACGCAUGCCAAUGGAGAGAGGGAGAGAUACGAGAUUUGUUCUCCUCUCAAUAACUCCACAGAGGGAUAUUCCUCAAGUAAAUGCACAAGAUCAAUAAGGAGAGGAUCAAUUAGUGCCAAAGAAAACUGUGGAGAACCAAGAAACAGAGAUCAAAAAGCUUAUCCAAUAUUAGCCCCCCUUUGGAGGCAGCAAAAACUCCUUGAAUGCGAGUAGCUCUGCUCUUGUAGACACAAUCAAAUUGACACUUUUCCCCAGCGGAGUAUUGUGUGAAUAUCCGGGAUAGCCGAACGGGUGAUAUUGGAAGAUGGGUAGGCACUAGAUGGCGUGAGAGUGGAGAGGGAGAGAACUGAGGUAGUCAAAGAGGAGAGAGAGAACGACAGUAGUGAAGGUGAAGCCAUAGUAGCUAGAGAGAGUAUGAGCC
rnacentral:lncRNA from 1 species